AGAGGCUGCUGACCAAGGAGGGCAGCUGGAGGGCAUUGGGUCGUUGAUGGGAUGCUGCUCAGGGCCCGAAAGUUAUAAAGGGCCCAAGCAGAGGACUCAGUACAGGUGGUGUAGGGGGUGUGGUGGUGUGUUUGUUAGGGGCUUGCUCGUGGAUCUCCAGGAGUCUCCCAGAGAUUGGAUGUCAUUCAAAAGGCACUGGCUGGUUGGCAGCUGCUCUUUGUCUACAGCACUGAAUUAGUCUGACUAUGAAAUAAGGCAUGAAGACAUCAAAGCAGGAGCGACUCUGGAAUGUGGGAAGAGGCAGAACUGACUCAUGCAAGGGACACUGGAUCAGACUGUCCCAUAACUAGCAGCCCCUCCUCACUUUAAAUAAACAUAGUGCAAGAGGAGAAGUCUUCAGAGAGCUUGCUCAUAGUCCUAAAAUGAGCAUUAAAUCCCCACACGCCCCACUGCCCUGAUGCUCGUCUCUAGCUCUUCAGCAUCUCGUGUGCCCUAAAAGCCACAAGGCAGAAUUGCUUCAGAUUGGGAACAUGGACCCACGACCCAGCUGGAGGAAGCCUGCCCACUGCUGCUGUGCAGUCUGACCACCCUGGGGAGGGGAGACGGAUCGGUUCACUCCGCUUGGCUCAUAGCCUGGGACAACAGGGCUGCAGUUUGUGGGUUUGAUGCUACUUAAUAAGGCUGGAACCAGCAGUACUGAUGUCUUCGCUAUAGCAGAGAUGUUUGCUUUUUGAAUCCAGAUGUCAAUCUAGCGUAUUGAUAGGGAGUCUGUGUGACUAAAUGUAUUUCUCUUCUGUGCUGUCACAACCAGUUUCUCUCCUUGUCGCGCUCUGGUUCAGGCUCACUGUACGAAGGGACGUGCAGCUCUGUACCAAGGCAGCGUGCAAGGCAAUCUGAAGAUCAGUGCACUUCAGCAAAUGACAAACCCUUUCCCACCCCCUCCCUAAACACAACAGCACAAGGAGAGGUUUCAAGAACAUGUUUAAUAAUGGCAGUUUCUACUGAAACAUGAGAUGUCCAUUCAAACUUGUCUUACCAAUUUUUCUUAUUAAAAAAAAAAA